AGAUUUAUUGCUGAAAGAUGGCCUMGCGUCUGAUUAGCUAGUUGGUGGGGUAACGGCCCACCAAGGCGACGAUCAGUAGCCGGACUGAGAGGUUGACCGGCCACAUUGGGACUGAGAUACGGCCCAGACUCCUACGGGAGGCAGCAGUGGGGAAUAUUGGGCAAUGGGCGAAAGCCUGACCCAGCAACGCCGCGUGAAGGAAGAAGGCCUUCGGGUUGUAAACUUCUUUUACCAGGGACGAACACAAUGACGGUACCUGGAGAAAAAGCAACGGCUAACUACGUGCCAGCAGCCGCGGUAAUACGUAGGUUGCAAGCGUUGUCCGGAAUUACUGGGUGUAAAGGGCGUGUAGGCGGAGAUGCAAGUCGGGAAUGAAAUCCAUGGGCUCAACCCAUGAACUGCUCUCGAAACUGUAUCCCUUGAGUAUCGGAGAGGCAAGCGGAAUUCCUAGUGUAGCGGUGAAAUGCGUAGAUAUUAGGAGGAACACCAGUGGCGAAGGCGGCUUGCUGGACGACAACUGACGCUGAGGCGCGAAAGCGUGGGGAGCAAACAGGAUUAGAUACCCUGGUAGUCCACGCUGUAAACGAUGAAUACUAGGUGUGGGAGGACUGACCCCUUCCGUGCCGCAGUUAACACAAUAAGUAUUCCACCUGGGGAGUACGACCGCAAGGUUGAAACUCAAAGGAAUUGACGGGGGCCCGCACAAGCAGUGGAUUAUGUGGUUUAAUUCGACGCAACGCGAAGAACCUUACCAGGAUUUGGCAUCCAACUAACGAAGUAGAGAUACAUUAGGUGCCCUUCGGGGAAAGUUGAGACAGGUGGUGCAUGGUUGUCGUCAGCUCGUGUCGUGAGAUGUUGGGUUAAGUCCCGCAACGAGCGCAACCCCUAUUGUUAGUUGCUACGCGAGAGCACUCUAGCGAGACUGCCGUUGACAAAACGGAGGAAGGCGGGGACGACGUCAAAUCAUCAUGCCCCUUAUGUCCUGGGCUACACACGUAAUACAAUGGCCGUCAACAAAGGGAAGCAAAGCCGCGAGGUGGAGCAAACCCCC
rnacentral:rRNA from 1 species